rnacentral:lncRNA from 1 species
CAUGUAUCUCAUUCUUUCACUGGCUCCUUAAACUAAUUGAGCAGCUUGUAACCUGAUGGUUGAUGCUGUAUAUGUACAGGAGAACUAAAAGAGACCAGGAAGUAAGGACUGUUUAUUAUUAUUGAUUAUAAAUUUUUUUUAACCACUGAGCUAUAUUCUUAGCCCUUUUUAUUAUGAAAUGGGGUCCUGCUAAGUUACCCAGCCUGACCUCCAACAUAUAAUUAUGUGUCAGCCUUCUCAGUAGCUGGGUUACAGGCAUGUGCUACAGUACUUGGGUCAGAGUAUUUAGUUUACCUAAUCCUUAAUAAUGUACAUAGAUGUUAAAAGAAGCAAGUAUCAGUUGGGCACAGUGGCAUAUACUACUGUCAUGUAUAACUAAAAAGUACAAAUAAGAAAAAAAAUAAGAAGGGCUAGGAAUGUAGCUCAAUGGUAGAGUGCCUUUGGGUUCGAUCCUUAGUACUAGGUGGGGCUGGGGAGAGGUACAUCUCAGAAACUCGAGAUUAUGAGACAGAAUGACAAAUGGCAUGUCUGGAUGUUAUUAAAAAUUCAGAAAAAGCAAAAGGUAGUUAUAGACUGAAUCAGUAUUGC